UACGAAGGGGGCUAGCGUUGUUCGGAAUUACUGGGCGUAAAGCGCACGCAGGCGGAUUGGUAAGUUAGAGGUGAAAUCCCGGGGCUUAACCUCGGAAUUGCCUUUGAUACUGCCAGUCUUGAGUCCGGGAGAGGUGAGUGGAAUUCCUAGUGUAGAGGUGAAAUUCGUAGAUAUUAGGAAGAACACCAGUGGCGAAGGCGGCUCACUGGCCCGGAACUGACGCUCAGGUGCGAAAGCGUGGGGAGCAAACAGG
rnacentral:rRNA from 1 species